UAAGGCGAGGCCGAAAGGCGUAGUCGAUGGGAAACAGGUUAAUAUUCCUGUACUUGGUGUUACUGCGAAGGGGGGACGGAGAAGGCUAUGUUAGCCGGGCGACGGUUGUCCCGGUUUAAGCAUGUAGGCUGGUUAUCCAGGCAAAUCCGGAUAACCAAGGCUGAGGUGUGAUGACGAGGCACUACGGUGCUGAAGUAACAAAUGCCCUGCUUCCAGGAAAAGCCUCUAAGCAUCAGGUAACAUCAAAUCGUACCCCAAACCGACACAGGUGGUCAGGUAGAGAAUACCAAGGCGCUUGAGAGAACUCGG
rnacentral:rRNA from 1 species